UGGUUUGAGAGGUUGAAGCUGCCAGCAUGAUCUGGUGAUUAACCUAGCUAUCACUUUUUCUUUUUUCCUCCCUUUUUAAGUAUUUUUUUUCGACCUCUUUAGUGGUAUAUAUGCAGAUUGAAAGACCAGUUUUGGAUUAAAUUUCUUGAGUUAUUUUCAGGGUUUAGUUAGAUAUGUCUUAAUGGGGGAAACCCUGCUUGAACUUUAUAGCUUCAUAGGUAUGGUUUCAACAUCAGAUCAUCUUGCAGCUUCAAUCACUCACUCA
rnacentral:pre_miRNA from 13 species